rnacentral:rRNA from 1 species
UACGAAGGGGGCUAGCGUUGCUCGGAAUGACUGGGCGGAAAGGGCGCGUAGGCGGUUUGUACAGUCGGAUGUGAAAUUCCUGGGCUCAACCUGGGGGCUGCAUUUGAUACGUGCGGACUAGAGUGGGGAAGAGGGUCGUGGAAUUCCCAGUGUAGAGGUGAAAUUCGUAGAUAUUGGGAAGAACACCGGUGGCGAAGGCGGCGACCUGGUCCUUGACUGACGCUGAGGCGCGAAAGCGUGGGGAGCAAACAGG